rnacentral:pre_miRNA from 1 species
CUUAUACUCCCUCCGUCCGGAAAUACUUGUCGGAGAAAUGCAUAAAAGUGAAUGUAUCUAGAACUAAAAUAUGUCUAGAUACAUCCAUUCCUCCGACAAGUAUUUCUGGACGGAGGGAGUAUUUA